GUGUGUCUCUCUGCAGGAGGAGGAGCCGGGGUCACUGCCUCUGUCUCUCACUGUUUCUGACUACCUCACUCCGUCCUGGUCUCUGUCUCCCUCCUCCUCUCCGCUGUCUCACUCCGAGGCCAGCGACUCCGACCGAGAGGAGGACGAGGAGGAGGAAGAGGACGAUGAUGAUGACGAUGACGACGAAGAGGACCUAGAGGAUCUGCGGGGACGCAUGAUGAGACGCCGCAAGAAACGGAAAACCUCGGCGACCGUCAAGAAGAAAGCCCAGCCCCACUCCCUGUCCUUCACAUGCCCCGCCCCUUCCUCGCCACCGCCCUUCCAGCAGCCUCUAGCCCCGCCCACCACCAACAUAAACAAUAAUAUAAACAUAAACAUCGGCGCGAGCGGCACGCUCUCCCGCAGACAGCACUGUCCCUACUGCGGCCGUCACUUCCGCUCCCUCGCUAGGCACCUGGAGAAACACCACGAGCAGCAGCCCGAGGUCCGAGCCGCCAUGGAGCUGUCGCACCCCCCCGCCUCCUCGCACCCCUUCACCUCUCCCGCUCAGCCCUCGUCCUCCCUGGGAACCUCCCUGUUUUCCCGAGAGCGAGACUCUUCGUCCUCAGCUCCGAAAUCCGGAGGCGUCUCCUUCUCGCUCUCGCUGUCUCCGCCUCCUGCCUCCAGUACCUCAAAAAAGAGCUCAACGACAUCGCCGAAGAAGCCCACGGCUAACAAGAGCCCUGCCGCCUCGCCCAACCCUCCCGCCAGGAGAGGACGGCCCCCGAAGAAAGAGAAAGAACCGCAGCAGAAGAAGCAGGAGGAGGCACCUCCCACGCCCGGGAAACAGGAGGAGGAGGAGUUCGACAUGAGAGAAGACGGAAGCGCAGAGGAGAAGAGCGGGGAAAUGCCGAGGUGGGUUUGUCUGAGUUCAGGUUUCAUGGGGAAAAAGUGUGAGAAAUAGGGCUGCAUAAGGAUGUAAUGAUUAACCGCGAGCUGGUUGAAAAUCAGUUCAAAUUUGUGAAGAUUCAGAGCGGAUGAGAUUCUAAACAAAUCACGAUUCAUUUAGU
ensembl:lncRNA